AAAUGAAUAGACGGGGGCCCGCACAAGCGGAGGAACAUGUGGUUUAAUUCGAUGAUACGCGAGGAACCUUACCCGGGCUCAAACGACAGAGGGAUUAUCAUGAAAGUGGUAAGCUAGCAAUAGUCUCUGUCGAGGUGCUGCAUGGUUGUCGUCAGCUCGUGCCGUGAGGUGUCGGCUUAAGUGCCAUAACGAGCGCAACCCCCAUUUUCAGUUGCUAACGGGUCAAGCCGAGGACUCUGGAGAGACUGCCGGCGCAAGCUGUGAGGAAGGCGGGGAUGACGUCAAAUCAGCACGGCCCUUACGUCCGGGGCGACACACGUGUUACAAUGGCGAGGAACAGCGGGAAGCCACCUGGCGACAGGGAGCAGACCUCUAAAACUCGUCUCAGUUCGGAUUGGAGUCUGCAACUCGACUCCAUGAAGCUGGAUUCGCUAGUAAUCGCGCAUCAGCCAUGGCGCGGUGAAUACGUUCCCGGGCCUUGUACACACCGCCCGU
rnacentral:rRNA from 1 species